rnacentral:rRNA from 1 species
AUACGGAGGGUGCAAGCGUUAUCCGGAAUCACUGGGCGUAAAGAGUACGUAGGCGGUUUGUUAAGUUAGAUGUGAAAGCCCCGGGCUUAACCUGGGAACUGCAUUUAAAACUGGCAAACUAGAGUUGGGUAGAGGGAAGUGGAAUUUCAGGUGUAGCGGUGAAAUGCGUAGAGAUCUGAAGGAACACCAGUGGCGAAGGCGACUUCCUGGACUCAAACUGACGCUGAGGUACGAAAGCGUGGGUAGCAAACGGGAUUAGAAACCCUAGUAGUCC